UGGGUGGCGAGAGAGCUUCCUUCGGUCCAGUUAUGGCGAGGGCGGGGAUUCGAAUUCGCUGCCGACUCAUUCCGUCAAGGGCAGUAACCAAUCCCACCGUGAGGGAGUUGCUGCCUGUGCGGGAAUGAUGCGGGAGAUGGAUUUCAUCCGGGCGCUUUCUCCGUGCUUGGACUGAAGGGAGCUCCCUCCUUACCCACU
rnacentral:pre_miRNA from 1 species